AGUGAACGCUGGCGGUAGGCCUAACACAUGCAAGUCGAACGGCAGCACAGUAAGAGCUUGCUCUUACGGGUGGCGAGUGGCGGACGGGUGAGGAAUACAUCGGAAUCUACUUUUUCGUGGGGGAUAACGUAGGGAAACUUACGCUAAUACCGCAUACGACCUACGGGUGAAAGCAGGGGAUCUUCGGACCUUGCGCGAUUGAAUGAGCCGAUGUCGGAUUAGCUAGUUGGCGGGGUAAAGGCCCACCAAGGCGACGAUCCGUAGCUGGUCUGAGAGGAUGGAUCGGCACCCUGGAACGUAGACACGGUCCAGAACCCUAAGGGAGGCAGCAGUGGGGAAUGUUGGGCAAUGGGCGCGAGCCUGAUCCAGCCAUACCGCGUGGGUGAAGAAGGCCUUCGGGUUGGAAAGCCCUUUUGUUGGGAAAAAAAAGCAGCAGGUUAAUACCCCGCUGUUCUGACGGUACCCAAAGAAUAAGCACCGGCUAACUUCGUG
rnacentral:rRNA from 1 species